rnacentral:antisense_RNA from 1 species
AGCACCCGGGCGCGUCCGGGGCUGUGGGAGCCGAAAGUUAGGGUCUUGCUCUGUCGCUCAGGCUGGAGUGCAGUGGCAUGAUCAUGGGUCACUGCAGCCUUGAACUCCUGGGCUUAAGGGAUCUUCUCAUCUCAGUCUCCUAAAUAGCUGGGACUACAGGCUCAGGCCACCAUGCCUGGGAUGCCUUCUGCCAUGAUUGUAAGUUUCCUGAGGCCUCCCCAGCCACGCAGAACU